ACGGGUGAGUAAUGUCUGGGAAACUGCCUGAUGGAGGGGGAUAACUACUGGAAACGGUAGCUAAUACCGCAUGACGUCUUCGGACCAAAGUGGGGGACCUUCGGGCCUCACGCCAUCAGAUGUGCCCAGAUGGGAUUAGCUAGUAGGUGGGGUAAUGGCUCACCUAGGCGACGAUCUCUAGCUGGUCUGAGAGGAUGACCAGCCACACUGGAACUGAGACACGGUCCAGACUCCUACGGGAGGCAGCAGUGGGGAAUAUUGCACAAUGGGCGCAAGCCUGAUGCAGCCAUGCCGCGUGUAUGAAGAAGGCCUUCGGGUUGUAAAGUACUUUCAGCGAGGAGGAAGGCAUUGUGGUUAAUAACCACAGUGAUUGACGUUACUCGCAGAAGAAGCACCGGCUAACUCCGUGCCAGCAGCCGCGGUAAUACGGAGGGUGCAAGCGUUAAUCGGAAUUACUGGGCGUAAAGCGCACGCAGGCGGUUGAUUAAGUCAGAUGUGAAAUCCCCGAGCUUAACUUGGGAACUGCAUUUGAAACUGGUCAGCUAGAGUCUUGUAGAGGGGGGUAGAAUUCCAGGUGU
rnacentral:rRNA from 1 species